rnacentral:tRNA from 1 species
GCGCCUGUAGCUCAGGGGAUAGCGCAACGGACUUCUAAUCCGUGUGCCGUAGGUUCGAUUCCUACCAGGCGCGCCA